rnacentral:rRNA from 1 species
AGCGAACGCUGGCGGCAGGCCUAACACAUGCAAGUCGAACGAACUCUUCGGAGUUAGUGGCGGACGGGUGAGUAACACGUGGGAACGUGCCUUUUGGUUCGGAAUAACUCAGGGAAACUUGUGCUAAUACCGAAUGUGCCCUUCGGGGGAAAGAUUUAUCGCCAUUGGAGCGGCCCGCGUCUGAUUAGCUAGUUGGUGAGGUAACGGCUCACCAAGGCGACGAUCAGUAGCUGGUCUGAGAGGAUGACCAGCCACACUGGGACUGAGACACGGCCCAGACUCCUACGGGAGGCAGCAGUGGGGAAUCUUGCGCAAUGGGCGAAAGCCUGACGCAGCCAUGCCGCGUGAAUGAUGAAGGUCUUAGGAUUGUAAAAUUCUUUCACCGGGGACGACAAUGACGGUACCCGGAGAAGAAGCCCCGGCUAACUUCGUG